rnacentral:rRNA from 1 species
UACGUAGGGAGCAAGCGUUGUCCGGAAUCAUUGGGCGUAAAGCGCGCGUAGGUGGCCUCAUAAGUCCGCUGUGAAAGUCAAAGGCUCAACCUUUGAAAGCCGGUGGAUACUGUGAGGCUAGAGUACGGAAGAGGCGAGUGGAAUUCCUGGUGUAGCGGUGGAAUGCGCAGAUAUCAGGAGGAACACCGAUGGCGAAGGCAGGUCUCUGGACCAUUACUGACACUCAGCUGCGAAAGCUAGGGGAGCAAACAGG